UUGGAGCUGCCCUAGAACAGCCCAACACAGCUCCACUAUCGGUUUAGGAAUUAGGACGCCGUGACUUUUCUGGUUUCGUCCGAUAUUCAAACAAGGUUGUUCGGUUGCGCGUGGGUGGUGGGCCAUGAUUCUAGCUCUGGUGUCUGGUCGACAACACAACCUUGAACACCAGGGUAAAUGGUAACGGUAACGGUUUGCAUUCGAUUACCAGUGGUAACAAGUUUGAAUAGGCUGAUAUCAAUUUCUAGUGUGGUAUCGGAUUACGAUUGUACUUAAACAAACAUGAUUUAACGUUAUUUGUUACCGAUUACAUUACAAAUAUAUGAACCAAAUAUCACCCAAGUUCAAUGAACCUAGACACCUCAAGCUUGGCUCACUGGUCCAAGUACAUAAGCAUGUGCAGCAAAGUGGGCUUCGCUAAACCUGAUUGGAUUUCAGCACCUCAGGACCAUAAACAACUGACUACUAGUAGUAGUCUCUUGCUGUUUCAGAGGCAGACAGGUGGGACACACAGUUCAGUGGCCAGCGAAAUACGCGAGUCCACUUGGAAUGUGUACGGCCACACGUUCGGAAGAUACCACGACGCCGCGAGCAUACCGGAUGCAGGUCGCCGCGCCUAAACCCAUUCCACGAGGACCAACGGCAACGGAGGCUAACGGGCACGCGGUAACGAGUACCCGAACCGAACCCGUCACGGUUCAGGAGUGGCACGAGAGAGGACGUCACGCACCUG
rnacentral:lncRNA from 1 species